CACAAACUAUUUUUGUUCCUCCUGGUUGCUUGUUCCUUUUGUCUUGCCCCUUUUGGCCUAUAUUCGGACAGUAGGGUGCAGAUGGUUUGUCAUCAUGUUUAUUGAGUAAUUUGGUAUUGAUUAUGUAGGCAAUCAAUAAGGUAAAAGAAUUGGAUGUUAGCAUAGAGGGAAAAAGUUUGGAAGAGAAGAAAAGUCCGUUUGCAAAGUGGCUGCUACAACUUUGUCAUCGAAGGUUUGUAGUGCAGCCAUGUGUAAAAACAUCAACUUGAUAAAUCUUGAUGUAGUUCUUCCAUCUUUUUCUUCCUGCAAUCAACUAGAGAAUGGAAGGCAUAUGAAUCGAGGGAGAAGAAAGAAGAGAACUAGAGCUAAUGGAACAAAAGACCCAAAAACGAUUCGGGUCGAAUUUUUUGAAAUAGGUUUUUAGACUAAGUGGGUCAUAAAUUUUGAAACGGGUAAAGAAAUCCAUGUCAUAUUUGCUAUGUCAAUCGACUGUUAAAAAAGGACAAUUUUAAAUCUUAAGAAAAUGUUAAAGUAUUUUUAAAUCAAAAGGUAAAAGAAAAGUAUUUUAAAACUAUUUAGAAUAUGGUAAACACAUUUUUAAUCAUAAAAUAAUAAAUAAAGAUAAAUGAGAAUACACUCUUCAUCUUCUCCAAGUACAAGUAUGGCCGUAAAGCUAUGGCAAAAUAUGGAAGUUUCAAUCACAGCUCUCUCUUCGACAAUCUAUAUUACUUUCUACUAUGUUGUUUCGGAGAUUUCUGGUUCAGCUGAUCAUGGUCACCACCAGAGAUUUCGAGGAACAUAUGCCACGCACAGUGAUUUCUGAAGAGGAAUUGAUGGGUCUGAUUCAGAGAAGAUGGCAAUCAAGGCUCAGAGCAUUCAGGAAUUUAGGAGAUUGGGGUUUCUGUGAUAGGUGGGAGGAGAUUCUCCUGUAAGGAGAUGGGAGGACCUUGAUAAUGAUAUAUUGGUCUUCCAUCCCAAUUUGUAUGUUCACGACAAUCAGUUAACUUUUGCUGCCAAGAGGUAUUCCCCCAAUAAACUUUCAUCUUUCUAUAACAUUAUAAUUAUAACUUAAUCAAGAAACCGUACAACAAGCAACGUUUCAGAGAUAUUCAGAUCCCUAUGAUUUUCCAUUAUUCUUUGAGAAACAAAAAUUACUGUGAAAAUGAACAAGACAGCUAAUUAGAUCUCCUCUUUUUCAGGUUUCCACGGCUUAAAAUUCUUGUUAUGCCUUCUUGGAACAAAAUAAAAAAGCAAGCAAUAUGCAGGGCAUUCGUCUAUGGAAAGAUCUUGAAUCACUAACAAUGCCUAGUAUAUAAAAUCCUGCACAUGUCAUCGAGGAAAUUGCAAGGAGUUGCCAAAUAAAUUUGAGCUUAUGAUUAUAGGGUCCUGUAUAUGCUGUUUGCAUUAACAUUAGGACUCAGGUCAAUUUUUCUUGAGACGGCCUGUCGACAUAUACGCAAGGCUUCCUUGGGAUUCUGAUGAAAUUCGAUUGCAAUACCAACAACUCCAGAGUUCACUAAGGAAGUUGAUCAGAAUAAGUCAAUUGCCAUGCACGACAAACUUGAGGAAUUGCAUAUAUCAACUGGAAAAGGUCAAAGGACUAGAGUAUCUUAACCCAAGAUAUUAAUAUCAAGGUCCUCCCAUCUUCUUACAGGAGAAUCUCCUUUUUCCAUCACAACAGCUUCAAUCUUUUUUUUUUUUUUUAAAAAAACUCCAUCAGCAAUUAUGCAAUCCAUCAGCAAUAAUGCAAUAAGAUAUGUUCAGCACUUUCAACUUUCUUAACCCCUCCUAGAUAAUAACCAAAGCAGGUUUAGAUAACAUCUUGCACCUCACACUCAACACUUGUUUUUUUUUUUUUUUUAAAAAA